rnacentral:rRNA from 1 species
UGGGGAAUAUUGGACAAUGGGCGCAAGCCUGAUCCAGCCAUGCCGCGUGUGUGAAGAAGGCCUUCGGGUUGUAAAGCACUUUUGUCCGGAAAAAAAACCUUUCGAUUAAUACUCGGAGGGAAUGACGGUACCGGCAGAAUAAGCACCGGCUAACUUCGUGCCAGCAGCCGCGGUAAUACGAAGGGUGCAAGCGUUACUCGGAAUUACUGGGCGUAAAGCGUGCGUAGGUGGUUUGUUAAGUCUGAUGUGAAAGCCCUGGGCUCAACCUGGGAACUGCAUUGGAAACUGGCUUACUAGAGUGCGGUAGAGGGUAGUGGAAUUCCCGGUGUAGCAGUGAAAUGCGUAGAUAUCGGGAGGAACAUCUGUGGCGAAGGCGACUACCUGGACCAGCACUGACACUGAGGCACGAAAGCGUGGGGAGCAAA